rnacentral:rRNA from 2 species
UUAUCGGAGAGUUUGAUCCUGGCUCAGGACAAACGCUGGCGGCGUGCCUAAUACAUGCAAGUCGAGCGGACAGAUGGGAGCUUGCUCCCUGAUGUUAGCGGCGGACGGGUGAGUAACACGUGGGUAACCUGCCUGUAAGACUGGGAUAACUCCGGGAA